rnacentral:rRNA from 1 species
UAGGGAAUCUUCCACAAUGGACGAAAGUCUGAUGGAGCAACGCCGCGUGCAGGAUGAAGGCUUUCGAGUCGUAAACUGCUUUUAUGAGUGAAGAUUUUGACGGUAGCUCAUGAAUAAGCCCCGGCUAAUUACGUGCCAGCAGCCGCGGUAACACGUAAGGGGCGAGCGUUGUUCGGAUUUAUUGGGCGUAAAGGGCGCGUAGGCGGUGAGAUAAGUCUGGUGUUAAAUGCCCCGGCUCAACCGGGGAGGUGCGCUGGAAACUGUCUUACUAGAGUGAUGGAGGGGGAGCUGGAAUUCCUGGUGUAGGGGUGAGAUCUGUAGAUAUCAGGAAGAACACCGGAGGCGAAGGCGAGCUCCUGGCCAUCAACUGACGCUGAGGCGCGAAAGCGUGGGGAGCAAACAGGAUUAGAUACCCUGGUAGUCCACGCUGUAAGCGAUGUGCACUGGGUGUUGGUCCGUUGAGGAUCAGUGCCGUAGCUAACGCGUUAAGUGCACCGCCUGGGGAGUAUGCUCGCAAGGGUG